GAAAUGCGAUAGCUAGUGUGAAUUGCAGAUUUACGUGAAUCAUCGAGUCUUUGAACGCACAUUGCGCCCUUCAGUUUACUGGGGGGCAUGUCUAUCCGAGCGUCGUUACGCACCUCAAGCUCUGCUUGGUCUUGGGGGUGGUCCCGCCAGUCGGGGCGCCCCUUGAACUCAACUCGACGUGCCUAUCAGCCGGGAGCGCAGUAGAAUGCAGCACCUGCAGGCAUCGUCCGGGCCGCUUCGGCGGAUCUCUUGGUUGACCUCGGAUUAGAUAGGGAUACCCGCUGAACUUAA
rnacentral:misc_RNA from 1 species